AUUUGCGGCCUGCAGUGCAUUUCUUGCAGUCCUGAUGCAUGGAGAAAUGCUCAACUCCUGAUGCAUGGAGAAAAUGCCUUCACAACCCUCUGCUAUUGCGUACAUAGUUUAUACUAAGUGACCCAUAGGUUGAGGAGGUGGUGACCGUGGCGGUGUAGGUGGAAGCAGCGGUGGAGGAGGAGGAUGAGGUAGCUAACACUGUUUUUUUAUAUAUAUAUACAUGUGACGGUGCAUUUGGAUGUCAUCCAUAUCAACUUUCAAUGCCAGCUUCUGCGCCUACCAUGGUGACCACGGGUAAAGGGGAAUCAGGGUUCCAUUCCGUACAGGGACCCUGAGAAACGGCUACCACAUGUAAGGAAGG